rnacentral:lncRNA from 1 species
CCUGAGCUCCGCUUCCUGUCGGGUCAGCAGCGGCAUUAGCGUCUCAUAGGAGCAUGAACCCUACUGUGAACUGCGCAUGCGAGGGAUCUAGGCUGCGCGCUCCUUAUGAGAAUCUAACGCCUGAUGACCUAUCACUGUCUCCCAUCACUCCCAGAUGGGACCGUCUAGUUGCAGGAAAACAAGCUCAGGGCUCCCACUGAUUCUACAUUAUGAUCAACUGCAUGGGGUCCUACAGGAGAAGACCAAGAGACAGAGACAGAGACCAGGGAAAAUGACCGAUACCAUUCCUUCUCAGGGAUGCUACACACCCAUGGGGCAGAGGAUAAGAGGUUCCUGAAGGCAUCACCCCUCUGGCCAUGGCUGGUGUGCAGACAAAGCUGGAGAUUUGGAGUAGCCUGUUGUCCCACUGACUCUUAGACUGCCCCAGCUAAGAAGAACCAACUCCUCCUAUUACAGAUGAAAUAAACAAAGCUACUCAAGCUCUCUGGCAUCGCCCUGACGGUCAUCAUGUGCUUCACAUUUCCCUCCUGCCCCCCCUGAUUUUCUGGAAAAGGGAGAAACACACCAAAGAGAGUUCUAGAAAAAAUGAGAAUAAGAAAUUUACCUGUAAUCCUUGCUCAAGAAACUGAAGCUCUGAGGCCACAUUGUUCCAGCCUUUUGCAGCUCCUGCAUGUGGAUACCAGCACCAGCAGCUCCCCGACCAGGGGCCCCAGCUAAGCCCUCCCAGAGGAUGAUCUUGGCUUUGUACAUGGGGUGUCAAUAUCCUGUGAGUCCAACAGAGGGAAGACAUAAGAAUAUGGUCACCCAGGGCUCUGCUCAAGUCCCUGCACCAAUGCAACCUGCCAAGGGAAAGCGCUCACCAUGGUUCUGUCUUGACCUGCCAGUUUUUGUGGCAAUUCUGAAUGUCGACAGGAGAAUGUCUCCCGGAUUUCAGCCUUUUAGAAGAUAAAAUGGUCCUAUGUGUUCAUGAACAAAACCCACCAGUUUCCCCAGGGCAGUGAGUUACCUGACAUCUGGCAGAUUCCUGGAAGGUUUCCUCUGGCCCCAUACUGGGAUCCAUUCCUGGGACAACUAGAAGUGCCAGGGAGUUAAAGCCCCAAGAGCGACCUUCAAGCCAAUAAGAGAUGGAGUUGGAAUGAAAACCUCAGCUUCCUCAUACCUCAGUGGGACAAUCCUGAGAUGUGUUCCUCAAGUCUCUCCAAGGACCUGAUGGGACUGAGUCCUGGUUGCUCAUGAGAGAAACCAGCAGGACUGGAUGUCAGUGAUUGCACCAUGCAGGAUUACAGAUUGUGCUGAGUUUAGAUUUUCUGCCUUCCUCCUCAGUUGUCAGGCUGCUAGCCAGCUCUUCUGCUCCCAUGACACCUGCAUCGAAUGCCUGCCCUUUCCUUACUACAAGACCCUUUCCAGUUCCCAGAUUAGAAUCUGCCACAGGCUAGGAAUCCCACAUCCCAGUAGUGAUUUGGCUCCAAGUGCAAAGGCACCUAGUGUCUGCCUUUUGUUCAGCAGCUUGGUGAUGGACAUAUCCAGGACUCAGAGACCCCUUUCCCUCAGCUCUCUGAGUUGGAAGCUGUCAGGUGCAGAAGGGCAACAUCUUACAUACACAGGGUUUGGGCAGGUCUGGGCAGUGCCUGGUUAAUGUUAAAUAAUGCAGAUAAAGGAAUUGUUGACAUCUGAAAGUCAAUAUGAAAAUUGUAUGCACUGCUGUGACUCAUGCAACUUCACUCCCAGCCCUGGUUCUCAUGAUUCCAGAAGUGGAAAAAAUAAGGCAACUCUUUUCCUCACAAUUCAAAAAAAUACCUAUUGAGCAACAUCAGCUUGGCCCACACAAGACAAUUUUUAUCCCUUCCGUUAGUUAACUUUGCUUUGGCCAAAGGCCAGAAAAACCUCAUUCUUUACAGGCAACCUCAGACCACCAUCCUGGAUCCACUUCAAAAACUAACUGCAGACCUGUGUCUUACUAGAGGUGAUUUGGUAGCAUUGAAGAUCAAAUCCCGAUUUAAAAAAUUAAAAAAAAAAUGAACAUAAAAUGCAUUUUUAACAAUGU